rnacentral:rRNA from 1 species
AUGGAGGCAACGGCGGUUAGCGUGGGCAAAGCCGUGCUUGAUGGCGCGCUGGGCUACGCCAAGUCAAAGGCGGCGGAGGAAAUCGCGCUGCAGCUCGGCGUCGAGCGCGAUGUGGACUUCAUCAAGGAUGAGCUGCAGAUGAUGCAGUCAUUCCUGAUGACGGCGGAUGAGGAGCAAAGCCAGAACAAGGUGCUCACCACCUGGGUGAAACAGAUCGGGGUCCUAGCCUACAAGGUGGAGGACAACCUCAUGGAUUUUGGCCUCCACUCAGAGAAAAAGCCAUUUAUGUGGUGCAUCCCCCGCAAUCCGGGUGAUCGACGCCGCAUCGCCAAGGAGGUGAAGGAGCUGAGGGCCAAAGUGGAGGACGUGAGCAACAGGAACCUGCGCUAUCGCCUCAUCAAGGAGAGCUCAGGCUCCAAGUCUACCAUGGCAGAGGAGCAGGCCAGCAUUGCUACUGCGGCAAUGUUUGGCAUCAACGAAGCAAGGCUUGCUGCCUUGGAGCAUACAAAAUCAUCAGAGGUGGACCUCCAUCAGUUGAUUACCAGCAAGGAUGUGGACCUUAGGGUGAUCGCCAUGUGGGGAACCAGCGGUGAUAUCGGGAAGACGUCUGCUAUCCAGGAGGUUUAUGAUGACCCAAAGGUACUGAAAAGGUUUGGAUUCUGUGCUUGGAUUAGGUUGAUGCAUCCUUUCAAUCCACAAGAGUUCCUCCGCAGCUUGGUAAGGCAAUUUUAUGAAAAUUCUCAUGAUGAGGUUGGAAAGCCAUCUUUCAAUCCACAAGAGUUCCUCAGGAGCUUCGUAAGGCAAUUUUAUGAAAACCCCCAUGAUGAGAUUGGAAAGCCAGAACAAGAAACAAGUGUCGGGGCUAAUGUUCUGGCCAAGAUGGAGAAGAUGGAUCAAAGUGAUUUAGUCCGUGUGUUUAAUGCACAGUUGUGUAAGAAUAGCUACCUGGUUGUCAUAAAUGACCUGGCCACAAUAGAAGAGUGGCAUUGCAUUAAGAAGUACUUUCCCGACAACAAGAAACAAAGUAGAAUCAUCGUUUCCACGCAGCAAGCUGAAAUUGCAAGGUUGUGCACAGAGAAACCGUACCAAGUUUCGGAGUUGAAGCAGUUGUCAUGUGAUCAAACUUUUUAUUUGUUCCACAAGAAGGUAAAUCUUUUUCUUGUCCUAGUUUCUGUUAUAAAUUCAGAGGAGCAAGUCAGCGUGGGCUGUGUUAGUGUGGCAAUGUUUGACACCAAUGAAGCAAGGCUACUGAAGGCUAUGCAUGAAGCAUGUUCUACUGAGCCCAUUUCCAACACGAACAAUGUUACUACUAUUGAGAAAAACACAGCAGUGCUCACCACCGAAAUACAUGUGGAAGAUCAAGAACGUAACAAUGCAAAUGAAGAAAAAGUUCAUAACUCAACUGCUGGAAAGAAGUUCGAACGCAGCAGGACACUGGCAUUGACUGAUGAAGUGCUUUGUGGGCGAGAAACAGAGAAAUCUGUUCUUAUCAAAUUAGUUGACCAACCGGACAACAAUCAAGGCUGUAAGGUGAUCUCUGUUUGGGGAAUGGGGGGUCUUGGAAAAACCACUCUUGUCCGAAGCAUCUACCAAAGCCAGCAGCUUGGUGGCUGGAAGCGUGCAUGGGCCACUGCAUUGCGUCCCUUUAACCCUGAAGUACUCCUUAGAGAUUUGGCUUUGCAGCUUCAGAAUACUAUUCAAGAAGGUCCUGCCGGAUCAGCAGCAACUACUGGAGCGCAAAAGAAAAGCAUAUCAGUGAUGAAACUUCAAGAGUUGAAGGAUGAGCUAGCUCGGGUACUAAAAUUGAAAAGGUGCCUUGUUGUUCUUGAUGAUAUAUGGUCCACUUCUGAAUGGGAUUUGGUCAAAUCAUGUUUGGAUAAUGCUGGAAGGAUCAUAGUCACCACAAGACAAAAAGAUAUUGCCAAACAUUGUUCAAGAGAAGACAAGAACAUGUACUGUCUUGAAGGUCUGAAAGAUGAUGCUGCACUUGACCUUUUCAAGAAGAAGGUGUUCAAGGACAAUAUUGAAGAAAAAGAUUUAGUCCCAGCUAUGAUGGAGCAAGCAAGAUUUAUCCUGCAUAAAUGUGCUGGACUUCCCCUUGCAAUAUCAACUAUUGGUGGAUUCCUAGCUACUAAGCCAAAAAAUUCUAUUGAAUGGAGAAAGAUGCAUGCCUGUAUUAGCACAGAAUUGGAGAUAAAUCCUGAACUUCGGACAAUAAAGACAAUUCUUAUGAGGAGCUAUGAUGGUUUGCCAUACCAUCUCAAGUCUGCUUUCUUAUACCUGGCCAUAUUUCCAGAAGAUCACAGAAUUAGGUGGGGUCGCUUGGUGCGGCGGUGGAUUGCAGAGGGCUACUCAAGGGAUAUGCAUGGCAUGAGUGCAAUUGAACUUUGUCGGAGGUACUUUGAUGAGCUCCUGGAUAGGAGUAUGAUCAUGCCAGGGGAAGGGACAGACCAAUACAGUCAGAAAAUCAAUUCUUGCCAACUUCAUGAUAUGAUCCGUCAAAUAUGUAUCUCAAAGGCUAGGGAGGAAAACCUUGUUUUCACGCUGGAGGAAGGAUGUUGUUUUAGCGACACACAAGGUGCAAUACGCCAUCUUGUCAUAGGUAGCAACUGGAAAAGGGACAAAGAUGUGCUGGAGAGCAUGCUGGAAUUGUCACAUGUACGGUCAUUGACCGUGUUUGGAGAGUGGAGAUCAUUUUUCAUCUCCAACACUAUGAGGUUUGUGCGAGUGCUUGACUUAGAAGACACACUGGGGUUAAGGGAUCAUCAUCUUAAUCAAAUAGGGCAGCUCCAUCAUCUCAAGUACCUUUCUCUUCGAGGAUGUCACAACAUUUUAUUCUUGCCUAAUUCUUUCCGGAAUUUGAGGCACCUCGAAACACUGGAUGUUAGAGGUACACGUAUAUCUGAGUUGCCAACAAUAAUCACCAAUCUUCGGAAGCUACAACACCUUCAUGCAGAUGAUCAUUGGCACUGUUUGCGUGUUAGGGGAGAGGAUGGCAUAGUUGAUAAGUAUCAACGUUACAUUGAUCGUAUUUCCACAUGUAAAAGAUGCAGCGUUUUGUGUUCCAGAGGUCAUAUUUUCUUGAGACCACAAGUUUUAGAUGCCGGCUUGAACAGGUAUGAUAUAUUCAAUCUAUACCGCUUCCAGGAGAGGAACCUAGAUGGCAUUAUUCUUCCUAGAGGGAUUGGCAAAUUGAAGGCCCUUCACUCAUUAGGUUACGCUGAUGUUUCUGGGAGAAAUGGAAAUGCCACUGUAAAAGAGUUCGGAGAGCUUACUCAGCUACGUAAGCUUAAAGUGGGUGGUCUGAGCUACAGAAACAUCAAGGAGUUAUGGUCUGCCAUUGCUGGUCAUAAUCAACUUCAAUCUUUGUCAGUUGAAAUAGGUAACCAGCAUGAAGAGGGGAACGAGUUAGAUGGCUGUUUGGGUGAGGGUUUGCUGCCACCAAGCAGCCUCGAGAGCCUCACUCUGCAUGGCAAGCUAGUCAAUGUAACAAAAUGGAUCCAUAAGCUUCAGAAUCUCUCCAAGUUGGUGCUACAGUUUAGCAAAUUGGAGCAAGUUGAUGCUAUACAAACCCUCGGGGUGCUACCAAAUAUAGCGGUUCUACGCCUGCGCUAUGACUCAUUCAGGGGGACACAGCUCCAUUUCCAGAGGUCAUCUUUCCCUAGCCUCAUGGUGCUGGAGCUCAGUUGGUUAGACAUCCAGUCGGUGCUAUUUGGAGAAGACACAAUGCCCAAGAUUGAGCUGCUACAAAUUGGUGUGUGCGACGAGCUGAAGGACAUCUCCGGGCUACCAGCCCUCAAAAGCCUCAAAGAAAUUCAGUUUCCUAAUGAUGGUGACAGUUAUUACAGUAAAAUAUUAGAGGUGCAGAGGGAACAGGUGGAGAGGCAGGUAGCGGAGCACGUGAGAGUGAACUAUUAA